UUGAACGCUGGCGGCAUGCUUUACACAUGCAAGUCGAACGGUAACAGGGAGCUUGCUCCGCUGACGAGUGGCGAACGGGUGAGUAAUGCAUCGGAACAUACCCAGUAAUGGGGGAUAACGCCGAGAAAUCGGUGCUAAUACCGCAUACGCCCUACGGGGGAAAGCGGGGGAUCUUCGGACCUCGCGUUAUUGGAUUGGCCUAUGUCUGAUUAGCUAGUUGGUGAGGUAAAGGCUCACCAAGGCUUCGAUCAGUAGCUGGUCUGAGAGGAUGAUCAGCCACACUGGAACUGAGACACGGUCCAGACUCCUACGGGAGGCAGCAGUGGGGAAUUUUGGACAAUGGGCGAAAGCCUGAUCCAGCCAUUCCGCGUGAGUGAAGAAGGCCUUCGGGUUGUAAAGCUCUUUCGGCAGGAACGAAAUGGUCACGGUUAAUAACCGUGACUUCUGACGGUACCUGAAGAAGAAGCACCGGCUAACUACGU
rnacentral:rRNA from 1 species